rnacentral:rRNA from 1 species
UACGUAGGUCCCGAGCGUUGUCCGGAUUUAUUGGGCGUAAAGCGAGCGCAGGUGGUUUAUUAAGUCUGGUGUAAAAGGCAGUGGCUCAACCAUUGUAUGCAUUGGAAACUGGUGGACUUGAGUGCAGGAGAGGAGAGUGGAAUUCCAUGUGUAGCGGUGAAACGCGUAGAUAUAUGGAGGAACACCGGUGGCGAAAGCGGCUCUCUGGCCUGUAACUGACACUGAGGCUCGAAAGCGUGGGGAGCAAACAGG